rnacentral:misc_RNA from 1 species
CCUAGAGUUGUAGGCUUUGCCUGCUAUCUCUUACCCAUGUCUUUUGAGUACCUUACGUUUCCUCGGCGGGUCCGCCCGCCGAUUGGACAAUCUAUAAACCCUUUGCAGUUGCAAUCAGCGUCUGAAAAACUUAAUAGUUA